rnacentral:rRNA from 1 species
UACAGAGAGUGCAAGCGUUAAUCGGAAUUACUGGGCGUAAAGCGCACGUAGGUGGAUAUUUAAGUCGAAUGUGAAAUCCCCGGGCUUAACCUGGGAACUGCAUCCGAUACUGGAUGUCUAGAGUAUGGUAGAGGGAAGUGGAAUUUCCGGUGUAGCGGUGAAAUGCGUAGAUAUCGGAAAGAACACCAGUGGCGAAGGCGGCUUCCUGGACUAAUACUGACACUAAGGUGCGAAAGCGUGGGGAGCAAACAGG